GCCAGGGAAGUAAAAGUCGUAACAAGGUCUCCGUUGGUGAACCAGCGGAGGGAUCAUUACCGAGUUAUACAACUCCCAAACCCACUGUGAACCUUACCUCAGUUGCCUCGGCGGGAACGCCCCGGCCGCCUGCCCCCGCGCCGGCGCCGGACCCAGGCGCCCGCCGCAGGGACCCCAAACUCUCUUGCAUUACGCCCAGCGGGCGGAAUUUCUUCUCUGAGUUGCACAAGCAAAAACAAAUGAAUCAAAACUUUCAACAACGGAUCUCUUGGUUCUGGCAUCGAUGAAGAACGCAGCGAAAUGCGAUAAGUAAUGUGAAUUGCAGAAUUCAGUGAAUCAUCGAAUCUUUGAACGCACAUUGCGCCCGCCAGCAUUCUGGCGGGCAUGCCUGUUCGAGCGUCAUUUCAACCCUCGAGCCCCCCCCGGGGGCCUCGGUGUUGGGGGACGGCACACCAGCCGCCCCCGAAAUGCAGUGGCGACCCCGCCGCAGCCUCCCCUGCGUAGUAGCACACACCUCGCACCGGAGCGCGGAGGCGGUCACGCCGUAAAACGCCCAACUUUCUUAGAGUUGACCUCGGAUCAGGUAGGAAUACCCGCUGAACUUAAGCAUAUCAAUAAGCGGAGGAG
rnacentral:rRNA from 1 species